UGGGGAAUUUUGCACAAUGGGGGAAACCCUGAUGCAGCGACGCCGCGUGAUUUAGAAGGCCUUCGGGUUGUAAAAAUCUUUUGUAUGGGAAGAAAAUGACAGUACCAUACGAAUAAGGACCGGCUAAUUACGUGCCAGCAGCCGCGGUAAUACGUAAGGUCCGAGCGUUGUCCGGAAUCAUUGGGCGUAAAGGGUACGUAGGCGGAUAAGCAAGUUAGAAGUGAAAUCCUAUAGCUCAACUAUAGUAAGCUUUUAAAACUGCUAGGCUUGAGAGAUGGAAGUGAAAGUGGAAUUCCUAGUGUAGCGGUGAAAUGCGCAGAUAUUAGGAAGAAUACCGGUGGCGAAGGCGACUUUCUGGUCAUCAUCUGACGCUGAGGUACGAAAGCGUGGGUAGCAAACGGG
rnacentral:rRNA from 1 species